AAGGAUUGACCUAUUGUUCAGCAAGUCUGAAGAUUCUUGCAGAAGUCCGGAUAAGCUUUUAUCCCCGUUCAACGAACCCUGGCCGGCAAUGCUUCUUAGUAGAUGGGCCAAAAGGUCCUGAUCUUCACUGUGGUUAGUUCCGUUGGCUGCAAUAUAUGAAAAUCAUAACCUUGCAGUUAAUUCUAAAGCACAACAACAACUACUACUACCACUAUUCAAUCCCCAAACAAUUUGGGGUCUGCUUAUGAAUCCUCACUAUAGCACAAGAAACAAAAUUCUCAGAACCAAAAAAAUAAUUUAAAACUAUUUGCAAAUUCAAAACAUAGCAGAAGAAAAACUAGGAAUUACUCACAGUGCAUAUUGGAGAGCAUUUUUAGCAGGCUCAUCAAGGAAUAACCACUAGCUUGUCCAUCAUUCGAUGAAUUGUUGUUAGCUACAGAUUCUGAUUGUGUCUUUCUCCUCCUUUUAUUAUGCCCAGCUAGGCGUCGACGACAACUUCGUUUUCCUUCAUCAAACUCUUGAAGUGCAUGAAACCUGUGUAUCAAAAGCAGAAUCUUUGGAAUAUAACCACAGAAUUAUUGAAAAAGCAAUUUCCCAAGAUGAAGCAACCAAACACAGAAAAAGAUUAAAAAAAUUUUAAAGGGAUUCACAUGACUUGCCAUCAAUCAAUCCACUACUCAACAUUCACAGAUUAUUCUAGGUCAGUUAUAUUAGUCAUUCAUAUCAUUUCCACUUUUUUCGCACCCAUUUCAUUCUUUUUAUUAUGCCGGGCUAGGAUGAAACCCGUGUUUUAUCCAAGCAGAAUCUUUGGAAUAAUAAACACAGAAUUAUUCAGAAAUCAACAGUCCAAACACAAACAACCAAACGCAGAAAAAGAUGGAAUUUUUUAAAGGAUUCACAAGACUAGCCAUCAAUCAAUUAAUCAUUCAACUACAACUCAAUCCCAAAUUAUAUAGAUCGGCUAUAUUAGUCAUUUAUAUAAAGUAAAAAAGAAAUACCUGCUGCACUGCUGGCAGAAACGCUGCAUAACAUUCCCAACGAGAGCUCUACUAGCUUUGGAGUGCAUCUCACAAACUUUAUGCCGCCUAUGGUAGUCUUUAGCUUUACUUAGAUCGGUCCCACAAUCAUCAACCUGACAUACAGCUCUUGUAGUACCAGUAACAGGUGCAGGUGCAGGUGCAGCAGCAGCCAAUUUUGUCCUUUUUUCAGCUACAGGCUCAGCUUGUCCACCAAGCUUCAACGAAAGGGUCCCACCGGAAUCAUUUUCAUCAACGAUAAUCACCCUUCUCCUUUUCUCCAGUUCCCUCCUCUGUUGUUCUAUCCCAUGAUUUGUUUCGUCUGAACAGGAAGAUGAACUGUUGGAUGAAGCCACCAGAUUCCCAGUUUCGACUGGAAAAAACUGCCUGCUCUGGUAAUUAUUAGAAGGGUUUUGACGAAGAGGAGUCGCAAUAAAAAGAUCUCCGUCCCAUUUCCAAUCAGUUACAUCCCACUCUAAGCUCCUCUUCCCUAAUCCUCGCAGAUCCGGUCCUCCCAUAUGGUAAUAACGCUCUCCCACACUCGCUUCCAUCUAAGCUCCUUUUUGUGUGUGUGCACGCGCGCGUUUGAAGAUCUAAAUCCGGAGAUUUAGGUGAUUGAUGAUCGGACAAGUUUGAAUAACAGAUCAAAAGUCAAAAUUGAGAAGAAAUAAAAAAGAAGAAAGAUGAGAACUAAUCACUAAUCAGCUUCGGUACGACCCCAAAAGUCGAGUACAAAGAGAUGACAACCAUGAUACCGAUUAACAGCAAGCCACAUACCCACACCUAAUUUCAGCGUUGACUAAGGAAAAGACUCGUGAAUUUGAAGCAUCUAGAACCGGAAAUCAGAUAAUUUAGCUCAACAAAGAAGAAAGAACUUCUUUCCGGCGGUCAGGAAACGGCGGGAAGAAGGGGACGGCGGCGACCGACGGUGAAGAAAGGACAAAGGAAGGUGGUUAGGGAGUUGGGAGGUGGGAGGUGGGGGAGGGGGAGCGAAAGGUUCGGAUGAAUGAUAAGAUUAGAGAGGAAUAUGAAUGUGAAUGUGAAAGGAAGCGUGUUGUAUAGGAGGGAGUAGUGGGUGUGCUCAGCUGUACAUGUACUGAUGCGGUGGU
rnacentral:lncRNA from 1 species